UACGAAGGGGGCUGGCGUUGCUCGGAAUCACUGGGCGUAAAGGGUGCGUAGGCGGGUCUUUAAGUCAGGGGUGAAAUCCUGGAGCUCAACUCCAGAACUGCCUUUGAUACUGAGGAUCUUGAGUUCGGGAGAGGUGAGUGGAACUGCGAGUGUAGAGGUGAAAUUCGUAGAUAUUCGCAAGAACACCAGUGGCGAAGGCGGCUCACUGGCCCGAUACUGACGCUGAGGCACGAAAGCGUGGGGAGCAAACAGG
rnacentral:rRNA from 1 species